AUACGGAGGGUGCAAGCGUUAAUCGGAAUUACUGGGCGUAAAGCGUUCGUAGGCGGUUUGUUAAGUUAGAUGUGAAAGCCCCGGGCUCAACCUGGGAACUGCAUUUAAAACUGGCAAACUCGAGUUUAGGAGAGGGAAGUGGAAUUUCAGGUGUAGCAGUGAAAUGCGUAGAGAUCUGAAGGAACACCAGUGGCGAAGGCGACUUCCUGGACUAAAACUGACGCUGAGGAACGAAAGCGUGGGUAGCAAACGGGAUUAGAAACCCGGGUAGUCC
rnacentral:rRNA from 1 species